AAGGAUCAUUAAUGAACAUAAUUCGGCGGGGGGGAUGGAGGGAGCUGUCGCUGGCCUUUUUGCGAGGGCAUGUGCACGCUCUUUUCUGAGCCCUCGGCGUUUUUCAUAUCUUCACCCGUGCACACAAUGUAGGAUGCCCCUCCUUCGGGAAGGGGGUACCUAUGUCUUCAUACACAUGAAAGUUUAGAAAGUCUCAGAACGUUUACUAUCGUCGAGCCGCGACUUCUAGGAGACGCGGGUCGGCGAAACAAAAGUUAUUACAACUUUCAGCAAUGGAUCUCUUGGCUCUC
rnacentral:misc_RNA from 1 species